UCACACCCGUUCCCAUACCGAACACGGAAGUUAAGCUUCUCAGCGCCGAUGGUAGUUGGGACUUUGUCCCUGUGAGAGUAGGACGUUGCCAGGC
rnacentral:rRNA from 3 species